UGGGGAAUAUUGGACAAUGGGGGCAACCCUGAUCCAGCAAUGCCGCGUGUGUGAAGAAGGUUUUCGGAUUGUAAAGCACUUUCGGCGGGGACGAUGAUGACGGUACCCGCAGAAGAAGCCCCGGCUAACUUCGUGCCAGCAGCCGCGGUAAUACGAAGGGGGCUAGCGUUGCUCGGAAUGACUGGGCGUAAAGGGCGUGUAGGCGGUUUGUACAGUCAGAUGUGAAAUCCCCGGGCUUAACCUGGGAGCUGCAUUUGAUACGUGUAGACUAGAGUGUGAGAGAGGGUUGUGGAAUUCCCAGUGUAGAGGUGAAAUUCGUAGAUAUUGGGAAGAACACCGGUGGCGAAGGCGGCAACCUGGCUCAUAACUGACGCUGAGGCGCGAAAAGCGUGGGGAGCAAACAGGAUUAGAUACCCUGGUAGUCCACGCUGUAAACGAUGUGUGCUAGAUGUUGGGUAACUUAGUUAUUCAGUGUCGCAGUUAACGCGUUAAGCACACCGCCUGGGGAGUACGGCCGCAAGGUUGAAAACUCU
rnacentral:rRNA from 1 species